UACAGGGGAUGCAAGUGUUAUCCGGAAUUAUUGGGCGUAAAGCGUCUGCAGGUUGAUAUUUCAGUCUUUUGUUAAAUUUUUGAGCUUAACUUAAAAUCUGCAAAAGAAACUAUUUAUCUUGAGUAUGGUAGGGGUAGAAGGAAUUUCCAGUGGAGCGGUGAAAUGCGUAGAGAUUGGAAAGAACACCGAAAGCGAAGGCAUUCUACUGGGCCAUCACUGACACUCAGAGACGAAAGCUAAGGGAGCAAACAGG
rnacentral:rRNA from 1 species